rnacentral:rRNA from 1 species
UACAGAGGUCUCAAGCGUUGUUCGGAUUCAUUGGGCGUAAAGGGUGCGUAGGCGGCGUGGUAAGUCGGAUGUGAAAUCUCGGAGCUUAACUCCGAAACUGCAUUCGAUACUGCCGUGCUUGAGGACUGGAGAGGAGACUGGAAUUUACGGUGUAGCGGUGAAAUGCGUAGAUAUCUGGAGGAACACCGGUGGCGAAGGCGGCAUCCUGGACCGGCAUUGACGCUGAGGCGCGAAAGCCAGGGGAGCCAAAGCGGG